rnacentral:tRNA from 1 species
GGAGGUAUACCCAAGUCUGGCUGAAGGGAUCGGUCUUGAAAACCGACAGGCGGGUCAAACCGCGCGUGGGUUCGAAUCCCUCUACCUCCUCCA